UACGUAGGGUGCGAGCGUUGUCCGGAUUUACUGGGCGUAAAGCGCGUGUAGGCGGCUUCAUAAGUCGGGUGUGAAAACUCGGGGCUUAACCCCGGGCCUGCAGUGGGUACGGGCAGACUAGAGUGCGGUAGGGGAGACUGGAAUUCCUGGUGUAGCGGUGAAAUGCGCAGAUAUCAGGAGGAACACCGGUGGCGAAGGCGGGUCUCUGGGCCGUAACUGACGCUGAGGAGCGAAAGCGUGGGGAGCGAACAGG
rnacentral:rRNA from 1 species